rnacentral:rRNA from 1 species
UACGAAGGGUGCAAACGUUGCUCGGAAUCAUUGGGCGUAAAGCGCACGUAGGCGGCUUCGCAAGUUGGAUGUGAAAUCCCUCGGCUCAACCGAGGACGUGCAUCCAAAACUGCGAGGCUUGAGUACUGAAGAGGAUCGCGGAAUUCCCGGUGUAGAGGUGAAAUUCGUAGAUAUCGGGAGGAACACCAGUGGCGAAGGCGGCGAUCUGGGCAGAUACUGACGCUGAGGUGCGAAAGCGUGGGGAGCGAACAGG